AUGUUGUGCAGCCAAAUGUGUCAGCUGAGUUUCGGUCUCAUAUUGGUGGAGCUGCUGUAUCUGCAGCAAAGGCAGUUGGUUACUACAAUGCUGGAACAGUGGAGUUUAUUGUGGACACUCUUUCUGGAGAGUUCUACUUCAUGGAGAUGAAUACUCGACUCCCUCCUCCCCUCCUAGAUCCCGUGAUCUGCUACGAAGCUGCCAUCAACGCCCUCCUCCCCCUCUCCGCUCAGCUCCUCCUCGCUCUUUCGUAGAGGAGAGGAUUUCACACUGAUGCAAGCGCUCAUCAAGGCAGAUUUCUGGCUUCUGUUUUUCUCGUCUACCAGAUAAUCAAGAAAGAUUUUAGUAUUGCAAGAUUUGCUCAGAUGAUGCGGAGGUUAAAUUUCUUUGUGGCAUUCUGUUGCAUUGGGCAUAUAUAAUAGAGCAUGAUAUCAUUGUCAAGGAUCACUUGGUCUGUUUAACACAUACAAUGAGGCUAUAAAGAUCCAUCACCAUCCAAGGCACACUUACCCCUGCUACAUGAGUGGCAUUUCCGAUCUGGCCUCGAUCGAUACAUAUGGAUUAUUGGAAUGAUUUAUGCUUACUUCCAUCCUAAUGUUGAAUGAUGGAUGGAGAAGCUGGAAGAAUCUGAGACUAAGGUUGGCUUUCUAUGGUAUGAACAUAUAUACAAGCUAGACAAAGAUUAUCUUGCAAUAAUUGGAUGCUGUUUUUGGCUGAGUUAGAAGCCCCGUGUAGGUCGGCUCAGGCUUCUUAUGUUUCAGAUUCUCCUGCAACCAUUUGGUGUUGUUUUUGGCUGAGUUAGAAGCUUCGUCCAGAAGCCCCGUGCAGGUCCGCUCAGGCUUCUUAUGUUUCAGAUUCUCCUGCAACUAUUUGGUGUUGUUUUUGGCUGAGUUAGAAGCUCCGUCCAGGAUAAACGAUGCUCCAUAAAUCAUGAAGCAGAUGCCCCCGCCACCUAAGGAUUUGGAGAUUGCUAUAGUUCGGAGCUCGAGCUGCCCUUCGAUCGAACCAAGAACAACCCUGCUGCCCUCACAACAUCAAAGUUUGGUAUCAGCAAGAUGGAGCUUCUCAAGGCAUGCUUUUGUAGGGAGUGACUGCUGAUGAAGAGGAACUCAUGGAUGAAGAUCAUUGAUCCCUUUCAUGUCAUGGUCUAUUCAAAAGGAAAAUCCACUUCUGAGAUUAACAGUUGAGAACUGUGAGUUGUCCAGUAUUGGUGUGAUUAUACUUCUGGACUGCCUCACAAAUGCGAAGCAACUCCUUGAUGUGCUAUCUAUUGCAGACAAUCAUCUAGGGAGUCCUGUGGCAGCUGCAUUGGCCAGAUUCUUGGGUUCACAUGUACGAGCUUUAAAUGCUACAGAUAUCGGCUUGGGAACAGUAGGCUUCCAAAUACUUGAGGAAACAUUGCCAACAGAAGUAGCUCUUUCCCACAUCAACAUCAGUAAGAAUCGUGGUGGGAUCAGAGCAGCAUAUUUUGUUUCCAGAUUAAUAUGUCGAGCACCAAA